rnacentral:rRNA from 1 species
GAUGAACGCUGGCGGCGUGCCUAAUACAUGCAAGUCGAGCGAACGGACGAGAAGCUUGCCUCUCUGAUGUUAGCGGCGGACGGGUGAGUAACACGUGGAUAACCUACCUAUAAGACUGGGAUAACUUCGGGAAACCGGAGCUAAUACCGGAUGAUAUUUUGAACCGCAUGGUUCAAAAGUGAAAGACGGUCUUGCUGUCACUUAUAGAUGGAUCCGCGCUGCAUUAGCUAGUUGGUAAGGUAACGGCUUACCAAGGCAACGAUGCAUAGCCGACCUGAGAGGGUGAUCGGCCAAACUGGAACUGAGACACGGUCCAGACUCCUACGGGAGGCAGCAGUAGGGAAUCUUCCGCAAUGGGCGAAAGCAUGACGGAGCAACGCCGCGUGAGUGAUGAAGGUCUUCGGAUCGUAAAACUCUGUUAUUAGGGAAGAACAUAUGUGUAAGUAACUGUGCACAUAUUGACGGUACCUAAUCAGAAAGCCACGGCUAACUACGUG